rnacentral:rRNA from 1 species
CGGCAUGCUUACACAUGCAAGUCGAACGGUAACAGGUCUUCGGAUGCUGACGAGUGGUGAACGGGUGAGUAAUACAUCGGAACGUGCCCGAUCGUGGGGGAUAACGAAGCGAAAGCUUUGCUAAUACCGCAUACGAUCUACGGAUGAAAGCAGGGGACCGCAAGGCCUUGCGCGAACGGAGCGGCCGAUGGCAGAUUAGGUAGUUGGUGGGAUAAAAGCUUACCAAGCCGACGAUCUGUAGCUGGUCUGAGAGGACGACCAGCCACACUGGGACUGAGACACGGCCCAGACUCCUACGGGAGGCAGCAGUGGGGAAUUCUGGACAAUGGGCGCAAGCUGAUCCAGCCAUGCCGCGUGCAGGAUGAAGGCCUUCGGGUUGUAAACUGCUUUUGUACGGAACGAAAAGACUCUGGUUAAUACCUGGGGUCCAUGACGGUACCGUAAGAAUAAGCACCGGCUAACUACGU